CCUACGGUGAGCAGCAGUGGGGAAUAUUGGACAAUGGGCGAAAGCCUGAUCCAGCCAUGCCGCGUGUGUGAAGAAGGCCUUCGGGUUGUAAAGCACUUUCAGUGGGGAAGAAAGCCUUGGGGCUAAUACCCUCGAGGAAGGACAUCACCCACAGAAGAAGCACCGGCUAACUCCGUGCCAGCAGCCGCGGUAAUACGGAGGGUGCGAGCGUUAAUCGGAAUUACUGGGCGUAAAGCGCGCGUAGGCGGUCUGAUAAGCCGGUUGUGAAAGCCCCGGGCUCAACCUGGGAACGGCAUCCGGAACUGUCAGGCUAGAGUGCAGGAGAGGAAGGUAGAAUUCCCGGUGUAGCGGUGAAAUGCGUAGAGAUCGGGAGGAAUACCAGUGGCGAAGGCGGCCUUCUGGACUGACACUGACGCUGAGGUGCGAAAGCGUGGGUAGCAAACAGGAUUAGAUACCCGGGUAGUC
rnacentral:rRNA from 1 species